rnacentral:rRNA from 1 species
AUUGAACGCUGGCGGCAGGCCUAACACAUGCAAGUCGAGCGGAUGAUGCGAGCUUGUUCCUGGAUUCAGCGGCCGACGGGUGUGUAAUGCCUAGGAAUCUCCCUGGUAGUGGGGGAUAACGUCCGGAAACGGGCCCUAAUACCGCAUACGUCCUGAGGGAGCACGUGGGGGAUCUUCGGACCUCACGCUAUCAGAUGAGCCUAGGUCGGAUUAGCUAGUUGGUGGGGUAAAGGCCUACCAAGGCGACGAUCCGUAACUGGUCUGAGAGGAUGAUCAGUCACACUGGAACUGAGACACGGUCCAGACUCAGACGGGAGGCAGCAGGGUGGACUAUUGGACAAUGGGCGAAAGCCUGAUCCAGGCAUACCGCGUGUGUGAAGAAGGUCUUCGGAAUGUAAGGCAGAUGAAGUUGGGGGGAACGGCAGUAAGUUAAAGCGUUGCUGUUAUGACGUGACAAACAGAAUAAGCAAGGGCUAACUACGGG